GCAAACUUGGUCAUUUAGAGGAAGUAAAAGUCGUAACAAGGUUUCCGUAGGUGAACCUGCGGAAGGAUCAUUAGUGAAUACUAGGGUGUCCAAUUUAACUUGGAGCCCGAACUCUCACUUUCUAACCCUGUGCAUCUGUUUCUGGCUAGUAGCUCUCCGGAGCGAACGCCAUUCACUCAUAAACACAAAGUCUAUGAAUGUAUAAAACUUAUAACAAAACAAAACUUUCAACAACGGAUCUCUUGGCUCUCGCAUCGAUGAAGAACGCAGC
rnacentral:misc_RNA from 1 species